CCUCUGGUGGUUUAAUGGUUAGGGCUCUGUGCUCUCAGUGCAGAGGGUCCAGGUUUGAUCCCUGGUCUGGGAA
rfam:Ovis aries breed Texel chromosome 14, whole genome shotgun sequence.